GAUGAAGAACGUAGCGAAGUGCGAUAAGUAAUGUGAAUUGCAGAAUUCAGUGAAUCAUCGAAUCUUUGAACGCACAUUGCGCCCGCCAGUAUUCUGGCGGGCAUGCCUGUUCGAGCGUCAUUACAACCCUCAGGCCCCCGGGCCUGGCGUUGGGGAUCGGCAGAAGCCCCCUGUGGGCACACGCCGUCCCUCAAAUACAGUGGCGGUCCCGCCGCAGCUUCCAUUGCGUAGUAGCUAACACCUCGCAACUGGAGAGCGGCGCGGCCAUGCCGUAAAACACCCAACUUCUGAAUGUUGACCUCGAAUCAGGUAGGAAUACCCGCUGAACUUAAGCAUAUCAAUAAGCGGAGGA
rnacentral:misc_RNA from 1 species